rnacentral:rRNA from 1 species
UUAACUGAAUCCAUAGGUUAAUGAGGCGAACCGGGGGAACUGAAACAUCUAAGUACCCCGAGGAAAAGAAAUCAACCGAGAUUCCCCCAGUAGCGGCGAGCGAACGGGGAGGAGCCCAGAGCCUGAAUCAGCAUGUGUGUUAGUGGAAGCGUCUGGAAAGGCGCGCGAUACAGGGUGACAGCCCCGUACACAAAAGCGCAUGUGUUGUGAGCUCGAUGAGUAGGGCGGGACACGUGGUAUCCUGUCUGAAUAUGGGGGGACCAUCCUCCAAGGCUAAAUACUCCUGACUGACCGAUAGUGAACCAGUACCGUGAGGGAAAGGCGAAAAGAACCCCGGCGAGGGGAGUGAAAAAGAACCUGAAACCGUGU